GUGUUGGAGAUUACUGAUAGUAAUUCCGGAGUAACCAAUGGACAGUUACCGGAUUUACGGGCUGGGGAGAGUUGACCACAUCGGGGCAUCACUGUACUCGACCGUGUGUUCACAUUGAAGUGAGAAGUGAGAAGCGGGUAAUUGAGAAGGCAAUAUUCACGCGUAUUUCGCGCAGCCGUGCGAUAAAAAUAAAAACAAAAAUAGGAAUCGAUGCAAAUCAAAACAAAAACAAAAAUUUGCAUUCUUUAGUUUCUGGCUGUUCAGUGAAUUUGGAAAUUUGAGUCAAAAACGUUAAAAUCGUGGCAUCUGCAGCAUAAAUUCGCUAGUGUAAGUUUAAAUUAGUGGCGGAGAGCUUGCACACGUAAACUAGCUGCACUACACGAUUGUUAGAUUUGUGGAAGAAGAAGGCAAAAGUGAUCAUUCGAAAGAUAAUUGGGAAAUCCCAGAUCAAAAAGAUCGAUUAUCGCAGGAAGUGAUCGCGGUUGUAUAGAGAAUAUCGCAAGAGGAGAAGAAAACUAUUUCUU
rnacentral:lncRNA from 1 species